GCCAGGCGUGGUGCUGCACACCUGUGAUCCCAGUAGCUUGGGAGGCUGAGGCAGGAGGAUUGCAAGUUUGAGGCCAGCCUCAGCAACUUAGUGAGGCCCUCAGCAACUUAGUGAGACCCAAUCUCGA
rnacentral:sRNA from 1 species